CUGCUUGUUCGAACUCGUCACGGCAACGACACGCCCACCCGUGCACUUGCCGCAUCGACAACUCGCGUACUCGCGUGCGUUUGCGCGGAGUCCGGAGGCUGGUGUGUGCUCAGCGGAGGGUGCCCGAGAGCAGCCGCAACCCACACCCUGGGUGGCAGCGCUUCCCCUGUGCUGCAGCGGCUCGGGCGGGGAAUCAAGCACCUCCCACGUGACGCCACGGCCGAGGACUCGGGAAGCCCCGCCUGUUCCCUCACACUUUGUGCCGGGAGCCUUUUCCCAGCGCCGAUCCGCUGACCCGCGUCCUAUCUCUGAGGAAAAUCCCAGCUAAACCUUUGAUCCCGAGGACACCGGGCGAUACCCUGUUUCAUCCUCGUCUGCGCUCCGAUCUCGCCAUCGCACCGGGAUGACCCCGAGCAGCCUCCCAGACUUGUGCGCCCGCGCCC